UACGUAGGGGGCUAGCGUUGUUCGGAUUUACUGGGCGUAAAGGGCGCGCAGGCGGCGCAUUUUGUCAGGCGUGAAAGCCCCGGGCUUAACCUGGGAACUGCGUUUGAUACGGAUGGGCUAGAGUUCGGGAGAGGAGAGUGGAAUUCCCAGUGUAGAGGUGAAAUUCGUAGAUAUUGGGAAGAACACCGGUGGCGAAGGCGGCUCUCUGGACCGAGACUGACGCUGAGGCGCGAAAGCGUGGGGAGCAAACAGG
rnacentral:rRNA from 1 species